rnacentral:ncRNA from 12 species
CUCUUCCAGGUCUGUGGUUGCGGAGGCACCGAUCUGCCUCCUAGUCCAUGACAGACGAGGUCAAAGGGAUCCACGUAAGCCAGCGUGUGGGCAUGCUGGCGAUCAUGGCUCGUCCUGAAGCAAGUCGCACUGCCUGAUCGGCUUUGGGGCAAAGAGCCCCACAGGCAAGAGGGCUUUGAUGGGGGUGCCUGAGCAUCCGAAGCGGAGGCCCCGGUGCGCGGGUGUGGGGCCAAAGACCAGGUCAGCUGGAAGAG